UACGGAGGGUGCAAGCGUUAUUCGGAAUUAUUGGGCGUAAAGGGCGCGCAGGCGGCCUGAUUAGUCAGAUGUGAAAGCCCGGGGCUCAACCCCGGAAGUGCAUUUGAUACUGUCAGGCUUGAGUAUGGGAGAGGGAAGUGGAAUUCCUGGUGUAGAGGUGAAAUUCGUAGAUAUCAGGAGGAACACCGGUGGCGAAGGCGACUUCCUGGACCAAUACUGACGCGGAGGCGCGAAGGCGUGGGGAGCAAACAGG
rnacentral:rRNA from 1 species